rnacentral:rRNA from 1 species
AUUGAACGCUGGCGGCAUGCCUUACACAUGCAAGUCGAACGGUAACAGGUCUUCGGAUGCUGACGAGUGGCGAACGGGUGAGUAAUACAUCGGAACGUGCCUAGUAGUGGGGGAUAACUACUCGAAAGAGUGGCUAAUACCGCAUGAGAUCUACGGAUGAAAGCAGGGGAUCGCAAGAACUGGUGCUACUAGAGCGGCUGAUGGCAGAUUAGGUAGUUGGUGGGAUAAAAGCUUACCAAGCCGACGAUCUGUAGCUGGUCUGAGGGGACGAUCAGCACACUGGGACUGAGACACGGCCCAGACUCCUACGGGAGGCAGCAGUGGGGAAUUUUGGACAAUGGGCGCAAGCCUGAUCCAGCAAUGCCGCGUGCAGGAUGAAGGCCUUCGGGUUGUAAACUGCUUUUGUACGGAACGAAAAGCCCUGGGUUAAUACCCUGGGGUCAUGACGGUACCGUAAGAAUAAGCACCGGCUAACUACGUGCCAGCCGCCGCCGUAA